rnacentral:lncRNA from 1 species
UUUUAAUCACCUAGAAGGGAGCUUUUUCAUUUACAUUUUUUCUCCAAUGGCUCUUCCCCCAGAUCACGGCCAUUAUACGAUUUAUGAUCUAUAGUGCAGCCAUUAGAUACCUACUCACAACUUUUAAUCACCUAGAAGGGAGCUUUUUCAUUUACAUUUUUUCUCCAAUGGCUCUUCCCCCAGAUCACGGCCAUUAUACAAUUUAUGAUCUAUAGUGCAGCCAUUAGAUACCUACUCACAACUUUUAAUCACCUAGAAGGGAGCUUUUUCAUUUACAUUUUUUCUCCAAUGGCUCUUCCCCCAGAUCACGGCCAUUAUACAAUUUAUG